CGCGAUCACUCCUACGGGAGGCAGCAGUAGGGAAUCUUCCACAAUGGGCGCAAGCCUGAUGAGCAACACCGCGUGAGUGAAGAAGGUUUCGGCUCGUAAAGACUCUGUUGUUAAAGAAGAACACGUAUGAGAGUAACUGUUCAUACGUUGACGGUAUUUAACCUAGAAAGUCACGGCUAACUACGUGCCAGCAGCCGCGGUAAUACGUAGGUGGCAAGCGUUAUCCGGAUUUAUUGGGCGUAAAGAGAGUGCAGGCGGUUUUCUAAGUCUGAUGUGAAAGCCUUCGGCUUAACCGGAGAAGUGCAUCGGAAACUGGAUAACUUGAGUGCAGAAGAGGGUAGUGGAACUCCAUGUGUAGCGGUGGAAUGCGUAGAUAUAUGGAAGAACACCAGUGGCGAAGGCGGCUACCUGGUCUGCAACUGACGCUGAGACUCGAAAGCAUGGGUAGCGAACAGGAUUAGAUACCCUGGUAG
rnacentral:rRNA from 1 species